CCUACGGGAGGCAGCAGUGAGGAAUAUUGGUCAAUGGGAGAGAGCCUGAACCAGCCAAGCCGCGUGAGGGAAGACGGCCCUAUGGGUUGUAAACUUCUUUUGUCGGAGAACAAAACCCGGGACGUGUCUGGGUUUGCGUGUACCCGAAGAAAAAGGAUCGGCUAAUUCCGUGCCAGCAGCCGCGGUAAUAGGGAGGGUGGGGGCGUUAUCCGGAUUUAUUGGGUUUAAAGUGUGCGUAGGCGGUCCGUAAAGUCAGCGUUAAAAUUGCGGGGCGAAACCCCGUCAGGCCGGUGAGACUGGCGUACUUGAGUUGGCGAGAAGUACGCGGAAUUCGCGGUGUAGCGGUGAAAUGCGUAGAUAUCGCGAAGAACCCCGAUUGCGAAGGCAGCGUACCGGCGCCAGACUGACGCUGAGGCGCGAAAGCGUGGGGAUCGAACAGGAUUAGAUACCCUUGUAGUC
rnacentral:rRNA from 1 species